rnacentral:rRNA from 1 species
GAUGAACGCUGGCGGCGUGCCUAAUACAUGCAAGUCGAGCGAAUGGAUUGAGAGCUUGCUCUUAUGAAGUUAGCGGCGGACGGGUGAGUAACACGUGGGUAACCUGCCCAUAAGACUGGGAUAACUCCGGGAAACCGGGGCUAAUACCGGAUAACAUUUUGAACCGCAUGGUUCGAAAUUGAAAGGCGGCUUCGGCUGUCACUUAUGGAUGGACCCGCGUCGCAUUAGCUAGUUGGUGAGGUAACGGCUCACCAAGGCAACGAUGCGUAGCCGACCUGAUGGGGUGAUCGGCCGCACUGGGACUGAGACACGGCCCAGACUCCUACGGGAGGCAGCAGUAGGGAAUCUUCCGCAAUGGACGAAAGUCUGACGGAGCAACGCCGCGUGAGUGAUGAAGGCUUUCGGGUCGUAAAACUCUGUUGUUAGGGAAGAACAAGUGCUAGUUGAAUAAGCUGGCACCUUGACGGUGCCUAACCAGAAAGCCACGGCUAACUACGUGCCAGCAGCCGCAGUAA